GUGUGAGAAAUAAAUUGUGUUACCAAAGAUAGUUGCUUAAAAACGUUUCUAAUUGUUAACUUAGUUUUAUGUGUCUGUAAAUAAUGCUAAACAAACAGUAGAAGUGGCAAAUAUGGAAAUAAAGACCGCUAUUUAGCAAAAGUCACUGUGGAAGCUGAUAAUGACAAUGACAGAUAACCUUCGGGCCAGAAGAUAAGAUAGAACUGUAUUUUUCGAAUCUUUUUGCAAACGAUAAUCAAGCACUGUGAUGAAAGUGAAAGAAUUGACGAUUAACAUUUGUAAAUAUAUAGAACAAGGCUAACCAGGGUACCAUAAUAAUAAUAGCUUUCAUUGAUGGUUCCAUACGAAUACAACCAAUCAAAUGGCAGGAUUCAAUAUCUGCUUAUGAUAAAUCAACGCAGAGAUUGCUCUUCCAUCCAACCGAAAUUUAUAAAGUGAAAAAUAAAACCAAUGCUUUUUUA